UAGGAUUUGGUGUAAAUGGUAGCACGAAGAUUUUUGGAUUCUUAAGAUUAGGUUCGACUCCUAUAGUUCUAG
rnacentral:tRNA from 1 species